rnacentral:rRNA from 1 species
UACGUAGGGUGCGAGCGUUAAUCGGAAUUACUGGGCGUAAAGCGUGCGCAGGCGGUUUGCUAAGACCGAUGUGAAAUCCCCGGGCUUAACCUGGGAACUGCAUUGGUGAUUGGCAAGCUAGAGUGUGGCAGAGGGGGGUAGAAUUCCACGCGUAGCAGUGAAAUGCGUAGAGAUGUGGAGGAAUACCGAUGGCGAAGGCAGCCCCCUGGGCCAACACUGACGCUCAUGCACGAAAGCGUGGGGAGCAAACAGG